CAGUGAUCAGUUCCCCCCUCUAAAGUCCAGCUCUCCUUGGCCAGAGAAAGUGCUAGGGAGAAGGACUUUUGAAACGCAUGUAGUGCCUGCCCAGCUUCGGUGUGCUCUUUGGGACCCUGGCUGCUGCUGUGCUCUGUGGGACCCUGACUGCUGGCUUCUUUAUGGCUAAGAAGAGAUGGGCGAAAAGAUAUUUCAGAGCCUCUACUACCUGCCAGCCACAGGCCUCAGCUCAAUGUCCUUUUAAGGGGUCUCCAGGCCCUUGCAGAGUAACAGUAUGAAGACCUUCAAGCUGGACCCAGAGAAGUCCUUCCAGGGUGGAGACUUGUUCCUGCUGACAGGAGAGGAAAGGACAACUGGCCAAGUGUCCUGGAAGCAGUGUGAAGAGCACUCAGGCAACAUUCCAAAGGGUUUGGAAGUAAAAACUGCCAUCCUUUCUUCUCCAGACUUCCUCUCCAAGCAUGGGACUUUAUGAUGAGGUGGAGAGACCCCCCUCACCCAGGCUAAGACUCCUGGAUUCCAUCCUCCCUGCCCUUCCCUCCUCCUUGGGUCUCUCAGAUCCAGGGUGGUCCCUCUCCUCUGCCUCCUCCUUCAGCAAAUCAAUUUGAGCAGUGAAAAGAACAAGGCCAUUGCAGUUAACACCACUCUGCCUGAGAGUUGCUGGGUCUCCGCU
rnacentral:lncRNA from 1 species